rnacentral:tRNA from 2 species
GUGUACUUAGCUCAAUGGUCAGAUCAUCACUCAUGAAUGCUGAGGUUGUGGGUUCAAGUCCCACAGUACAAA